UACGAAGGGGGCUAGCGUUGCUCGGAAUCACUGGGCGUAAAGGGUGCGUAGGCGGGUUUUAAGUCAGGGGUGAAAUCUUGGAGCUUAACUCCGAAACUGCAUUCGAUACUGCCGUGCUUGAGGACUGGAGAGGAGACUGGAAUUUACGGUGUAGCGGUGAAAUGCGUAGAUAUCGUAAGGAAGACCAGUGGCGAAGGCGGGUCUCUGGACAGUUCCUGACGCUGAGGCACGAAGGCCAGGGGAGCAAACGGG
rnacentral:rRNA from 1 species